GCCUCUGUAGCUCAGUGGCUAGAGCACUGGUCUCGUAAACCAGGGGUCGGGAGUUCGAUCCUCCCCAGGGGCU
rfam:Macrostomum lignano uti_cns_0003943, whole genome shotgun sequence.